rnacentral:rRNA from 1 species
UACGGAGGGAGCUAGCGUUGUUCGGAAUUACUGGGCGUAAAGCGCACGUAGGCGGCUUUGUAAGUUAGAGGUGAAAGCCCGGGGCUCAACUCCGGAAUUGCCUUUAAGACUGCAUCGCUUGAAUCCAGGAGAGGUGAGUGGAAUUCCGAGUGUAGAGGUGAAAUUCGUAGAUAUUCGCAAGAACACCAGUGGCGAAGGCGGCUCACUGGCCCGAUACUGACGCUGAGGCACGAAAGCGUGGGGAGCAAACAGG